GUUUAUUACGCAGAAUCUGCACUCUUAUGAUUGCUGUAUUUCUUUAUAUAUGAGGUCCUUGUCUUUAUACACAAGGUCCUUGUCCUUAUACACAAGGUCCUUGUCCUUAUACACAAGGUCCUUGUCCUUAUACACGAGGUCCUUGUCUUUAUACACAAGGUCCUUGUCCUUAUACACAAGGUCCUUGUCUUUAUACACAAGGCCCUUGUCCUUAUACAAAAGGUCCUUGUCCUUAUACACAAGGUCCUUGUCCUUAUACACAAGGUCCUUGUCCUUAUACACAAGGUCCUUGUCCUUAUACACAAGGUCCUUGUCUUUACACACAAGGCCCUUGUCCUUAUACAAAAGGUCCUUGUCCUUAUACACAAGGUCCUUGUCCUUAUACACGAGGUCCUUGUCUUUAUACACAAGGUCCUUGUCCUUAUACACAAGGUCCUUGUCUUUAUACACAAGGUCCUUGUCCUUAUACACAAGGUCCUUGUCCUUAUACACAAGGUCCUUGUCCUUAUACACAAGGUCCUUGUCCUUAUACACAAGGUCCUUGUCCUUAUACACGAGGUCCUUGUGUCUAUACACAGGUCCUCUACUUUAUAAAACAAGUUCUCAACUUACAAACACUGGGAAGUAAAAAUAUCUACACUUACAAACACUGUACUUAGAAACUAUUUUUACAAUUGCUGUACUGAAGUAUAAAACAGAAUAAUUUUUCUAAUACUGUUUCAUAUAUAAAUUUUCUUUUUAUGCUGAAAAACCGGGAAUACAACUUACACGUAACUUGAAAUGCCCGGAAUGCAACUUGUUUUUGAGAUAGAGUAAAAAAUCACAAUACCGUGACUGGAACAACACACAGAUAGCCCUCGCACAUGAGUCGGAUACUUCUGACGAUGUUUUGGUCUGACUUGAACCAUUAACUAAUCAGUGGCCCAAGUCAGAUCGAAACGUCAUCAUGAGCCUCAUUCUCCUAUGUCCUGGUUAUUUGUGUAUCAUUUGUGUGAUGGAACACCAGGACAGGAAAGGGUUUGUAAGUUGUGAACGUGUACCUGACACGUCUCUCAUUCCUUGUAUGUUUCACACUGUCAUGUAUACCUUGUAAAGCAGCCGGGAUACACUACAGACAUUCUAGUGUUUAAUAAUUCAGUAUGGCAACUGAUUCACUCAUUAAGUGUCAAGUAAACAUGCAGGAUUCUUUUGCAAAUGUUUAGUGUGUUUCUGUUGGAUAUUCCAGCAACUGUAUAGUUAAAUGAUAGACGAUAACAGAAAUGUUUGAGGAAGAUUCUGCAUGUCUUGAAAUGUUUAAGGUACAGGUAAAGAUGACUUACAUUGUUUAACUCGUAACCUCAGAAGGAGUAAAAUGACUCAUGAUAACACGAUUGUAAACAAAUCAUAGAACGGGUGAGGUUCUGAACCCAUGGUGAGUCCUGAAACCCACAGACCAGUGUGUUAACCACUGUACCAGGUGGCUGUAAUAAGUAUCUUAUUAGAUUCAGCUGGCCCAGUGAUUAACACACUGGCCUGUGUUUCAGGACUCACCAUGGGUUCAAAACCCCACCUGUUCCCUGAUUUAAUAAAAUAAAAUUUAAAGUUAAAUAUAGAAUAAUCUGUAACUGCUCAACUAAUACUUUGUAUACUCAAGUAUAACUCAAAAAAUAUCUACUUUAUGCAUCUCUUGUACAAUUUUUUUCUAAGUUUUGAAGAGAAAAUGAGUAAUAUUUGAUAAGUUAAGUGCUGUUCUGGAUGUGUUGUGUGUGUGCGUGUGUUGCUGUGUUUGGAAAACAAAGUGGACGAGAGGAGGCUUCUGAUCCAGUGUUUCCAGUUGUAAGUUUAGCCUGACGCAUUUGUAUGUGCAGAAGAGAGUUAAGCAUAAUGAAAAGUAAUCACUUAAUAGUGCUGAUGGUGUGUUGGAACAACUGUAUCAAGGUCAGGUGUGUUGGAGCAGCUGUAUCAAGGUCAGGUGUGUUAGAACAACUGUAUCAAGGUCAGGUGUGUUGGAACAACUGUAUCAAGGUCAGGUGUGUUGGAGCAGCUGUAUCAAGGUCAGGUGUGUUGGAACAACUGUAUCAAGGUCAGGUGUGUUGGAACAACUGUAUCAAGGUCAGGUAUGCCGUGUUACUUGC